rnacentral:rRNA from 1 species
UACGGAGGGUGCAAACGUUGCUCGGAAUCACUGGGCGUAAAGGGUGCGUAGGCGGGUCUUUAAGUCAGGGGUGAAAUCCUGGAGCUCAACUCCAGAACUGCCUUUGAUACUGAAGAUCUUGAGUUCGGGAGAGGUGAGUGGAACUGCGAGUGUAGAGGUGAAAUUCGUAGAUAUUCGCAAGAACACCAGUGGCGAAGGCGGCUCACUGGCCCGAUACUGACGCUGAGGUGCGAAAGCGUGGGGAGCAAACAGG